rnacentral:lncRNA from 1 species
CUUUCAGCUUGCAUACAGACUGCUGCCACGCCGGCUGGCUAGGUCGUUCUGUUCUCCAGGAUCCCAACCCGCUGCCAUUGAGCUGCUCAGAAGAGCCUUCCACCCAGCUUGGAGACUCACACAGACCUCCUACGGUUUUACCACCAUAUGCUCGGGACCAGCUCGGACUGCAGCCUACCCGCGCCCAGAUGCCUCCUCGGCUUUCAGCAGGCUGCCACCGACCACUGCCAAACACCACAGAUUAACUGAACACCUGUGCCACUUGCUGGUCAAAGAUAGUUACUGCAUCUGCAGUGGAAAUCAGGCUUAAAGAUCAUUGGGAUGCCUCAGAAGCAGAAUCACUCCAAUCCAAGGAGCCUACUCCACACAGGUAUCAUGACUAUUCUUCUAAGGUUGUUACUCGUACACCAUUAGUGUACCCAGCUACCACGGUAGAAAAGCCAGCUUCUAAGAAAAAC